rnacentral:rRNA from 1 species
GACGAACGCUGGCGGCGUGCUUAACACAUGCAAGUCGAACGGAAAGGCCCUGCUUUUGUGGGGUGCUCGAGUGGCGAACGGGUGAGUAACACGUGAGUAACCUGCCCUUGACUUUGGGAUAACUUCAGGAAACUGGGGCUAAUACCGGAUAGGAGCUCCUGCUGCAUGGUGGGGGUUGGAAAGUUUCGGCGGUUGGGGAUGGACUCGCGGCUUAUCAGCUUGUUGGUGGGGUAGUGGCUUACCAAGGCUUUGACGGGUAGCCGGCCUGAGAGGGUGACCGGCCAAAUGGGGACUGAGAUACGGCCCAGACUCCUACGGGAGGCAGCAGUGGGGAAUAUUGCACAAGGGGCGGAAGCCUGAUGCAGAAACGCGGCGUGCGGGAUGACGGCCUUCGGGUGGUAAACCGCUUUCGCCUGUGACGAAGCGUGAGUGACGGUAAUGGGUAAAGAAGCACCGGCUAACUACGU